UACAGGGGGUGCAAACGUUGCUCGGAAUCAUUGGGCGUAAAGCGCACGUAGGCGGUCUGUUAUGUCGGAUGUGAAAGCCCUUGGCUCAACUGAGGAAGUGCAUCCGAAACUGGCAGGCUAGAGUACUAAAGAGGAUCGCGGAAUUCCCGGUGUAGAGGUGAAAUGCGUAGAUAUCGGAAGGAACACCGGUGGCGAAAGCGGCGCGCUGGACCUCUUCUGACGCUGAGGCGCGAAAGCCAGGGGAGCAAACGGG
rnacentral:rRNA from 1 species